ensembl:snRNA U6 U6 spliceosomal RNA
GUGCUUCCUACGCCUGCACAUAGACUAAAAUUGGAUCGAUACAGAGAAGAUUAGCAUGGCCCCUGCGAAAAUUGUGACAUGCAAAUCCUUGAAAGCGUUCCAUAUUUUG